AGAGUUUGAUCCUGGCUCAGAACGAACGCUGGCGGCGCGUUUUAAGCAUGCAAGUCGAACGGUAAUAGGGUGCUUGCACUCUAUGAGAGUGGCGAACGGGUGAGUAACACGUAGGUAAUCUACCUUGAAGUUGGGGAUAGCCUGUGGAAACACAGGGUAAUACCGAAUGUCCUCAUUUCGGUGAGGAAAGAGGCUAAGGCCUCGCUUUGGGAUGAGCCUGCGGCUCAUUAGCUAGUUGGUGGGGUAAAGGCCUACCAAGGCGACGAUGAGUAGCCGACCUGAGAGGGUGACCGGCCACACUGGGACUGAGACACGGCCAAGACUCCUACGGGAGGCAGCAGCUAAGAAUCUUCCGCAAUGGCCGAAAGGCUGACGGAGCGACGCCGCGUGGACGAUGAAGGCCGGAAGGUUGUAAAGUCCUUUUAUUGGAGAAGAAUAAUGCGGGGAGGGAAUGCCCUGCAGAUGACGUUAUCCUAUGAAUAAGCCCCGGCUAAUUACGUGCCAGCAGCCGCGGUAACACGUAAGGGGCAAGCGUUGUUCGGAAUUAUUGGGCGUAAAGGGCGCGUAGGCGGCUAUGAAAGUCUGGUGUGAAAGGCCACCGCUUAACGGUGGGAGUGCACUGGAAACUACAUGGCUAGAGUUCAAGAGGGGAAGCUGGAAUUCCUGGUGUAGGGGUGAAAUCUUAGAUAUCAGGAAGAACACCUGUGGCGAAGGCGAGCUUCUGGCUAUGAACUGACGCUGAGGCGCGAAAGCGUGGGGAGCGAACAGGAUUAGAUACCCUGGUAGUCCACGCUGUAAACGGUGUGCACUAGGUGUUGGCUGUUGUAACGGUCAGUGCCGAAGCAAACGCGAUAAGUGCACCGCCUGGGGAGUAUGCUCGCAAGGGUGAAACUCAAAGGAAUUGACGGGGGCCCGCACAAGCGGUGGAGCAUGUGGUUUAAUUCGACGAUACGCGAGGAACCUUACCAGGGCUUGACAUAUGCAUGACGAUCAUAGAGAUAUGGUUUCCCUUCGGGGCGUGUAUACAGGUGCUGCAUGGUUGUCGUCAGCUCGUGCUGUGAGGUGUUGGGUUAAGUCCCGCAACGAGCGCAACCCCUGCUGUCUGUUGCCAGCAUUUCGGAUGGGGACUCAGACGGUACUGCCGGUGACAAACCGGAGGAAGGUGGGGAUGACGUCAAAUCAUCAUGGCCCUUAUGUCCUGGGCUACACACGUGCUACAAUGGUUGGUACAGAGCGAUGCAAAACCGCGAGGUGGAGCAAAUCGCAGAAAGCCGGCCUCAGUACGGAUUGGAGUCUGAAACUCGACUUCAUGAAGUUGGAAUCGCUAGUAAUCGCGCAUCAGCAUGGCGCGGUGAAUACGUUCCCGGGCCUUGUACACACCGCCCGUCACACCACCCGAGUUGGGGGUACCCGAAGUCGCUCGUCUAACCGGUUACGGAGGACGGUGCCGAAGGUAUGCCUGGUAAGGGGGGUGAAGUCGUAACAAGGUA
rnacentral:rRNA from 1 species